rnacentral:rRNA from 1 species
AUUGAACGCUGGCGGCAUGCUUUACACAUGCAAGUCGAACGGCAGCGGGGUAGUGCUUGCACUACUGCCGGCGAGUGGCGAACGGGUGAGUAAUAUAUCGGAACGUACCGAGUAAUGGGGGAUAACCAAUCGAAAGAUUGGCUAAUACCGCAUACGUCCUGAGGGAGAAAGCGGGGGAUCGCAAGACCUCGCGUUAUUCGAGCGGCCGAUAACUGAUUAGCUAGUUGGUGGGGUAAAGGCCUACCAAGGCGACGAUCAGUAGCGGGUCUGAGAGGACGAUCCGCCACACUGGGACUGAGACACGGCCCAGACUCCUACGGGAGGCAGCAGUGGGGAAUUUUGGACAAUGGGGGCAACCCUGAUCCAGCCAUGCCGCGUGUAUGAAGAAGGCCUUCGGGUUGUAAAGUACUUUUGUUAGGGAAGAAAAGGGAAGUGCUAAUACCACUUUUUGCUGACGGUACCUGAAGAAUAAGCACCGGCUAACUACGUG